UAAUCCAUUCUUAUACAUAUGUACAUACAUACGUACAUACAUACAUACACAUACAUACAUACAUACAUACAUGUUAAAAUGACGCGCAAAACAAACACGUGAGGAACAUGCGAUAACGUAACGAGAAGCAAGCCAAGCUUAGAGCUUUUGACUCAGAGUAGAAAGAGCAGCUUAGAGCUUUGCAUACACAUACAUAUGUAUGCAUACACAUAUAUAUCUCUCUUUUAUGGUGUCGGUUUUUCGUAACGCACGCGGUCAAGCGUAUUUUCGAUUCACUCCCAACGCGCCUAUAGAAGUUUCACUUCAAAAACAAGAGAAUC